rnacentral:rRNA from 1 species
CCUACGGGUGGCAGCAGUGAGGAAUAUUGGUCAAUGGACGCAAGCCUGAACCAGCCAAGUCGCGUGCAGGAAGACGGCCCUAUGAGUUGUAAACCGCUUUUGUCCGAGGGCAAAAGCAGACACGCGUAUCUGUCUGAGAGUACCGUACGAAUAAGCAUAGGCUAACUCCGUGCCAGCAGCCGCGGUAAUACGGAGGAUGCAAGCGUUAUCCGGAUUUAUUGGGUUUAAAGGGUGCGUAGGCGGUCGGAUAAGUUAGAGGUGAAAUCCCGAGGCUCAACUUCGGAAUUGCCUCUGAUACUGUUCGGCUAGAGAGUAGUUGCGGUAGGCGGAAUGUAUGGUGUAGCGGUGAAAUGCUGAGAGACCAUACAGAACACCGAUUGCGAAGGCAGCUUACCAAGCUACUUCUGACGUUGAGGCACGAAAGCGUGGGGAGCAAACAGGAUUAGAUACCCCGGUAGUC